ensembl:miRNA
CGGCUCGGCUCGGCUCGGCUCGGCUCGGCUCGGCUCGGCUCGGCUCGGCUCGGCUGGACUCGGCGCGGUCCGGCUCAGC